rnacentral:lncRNA from 1 species
AGGUUAUCGGUCUCACUCGUUCUAUUCUGAUUAUCCUGUGAUUCUAGAUUCAUGUUAUCAGACACACUCUCUUGUUACUCCAACUACUUUAGAAGCUAGCAUGAUAAAAAAUCAUGGUGUAGAAAUCUAUAAGAACCCCUAGCAAUCCUAUGAUUAUCAAUUUGACAUUAAACUCAUGAAAUCCUUAAAUCUAACAAGGUGAUCUACUCAGACAUGAAAAGAGAAAAAAAGAAUUCUAUGUUCAAGAUUGGAGUAG